rnacentral:misc_RNA from 1 species
UUUUUUUUUUUAACUAUCUGAUCUAUCACUGAAAUCAGUGUGAAACUGGAAUACAUCUUAACUAAUUAGGUCCUGUGAGUACACAUGACUUAUUUGAUAAUUAGCACAUUCCAAGGAGAUGGGUUUACCCUAAUAGAUGUAGUUCUUCCCUUUUUUUUUUUCAAUCACUCAAGUUAGUUUUAGAUGUGAGGUUUCCCAUGUCAUUGUUAAACUCUUUCCAGGAUCUUCAUGGAAAAUAUUAAUCCUGGAAGCAAAUUUCCCUUGGUGCUUCGUGGACUUUACCCAUUUCUCAGAAGAUACCAUAAAAUUGAAAUUUUGAUAUUGUUUAAGUUCAUGUUUUUGUUAGUAUCAUCGCUAUUCACAAGGUGUCUGUUGAACAUGAUCAUUUUAUGGCGCUAAGAUUCUAUAGUUGUAGAAGUCUUUUAGGUCUAAUUUGAGCAGCUAUUUGUGUUGCUGUUAUUUUAAAUUACACUGUAAGUUCUAUUAUCUAGCAUGACAAAUUAUUGGGCUUGCAGCCAUGAGGUACAUGUCCAAGGCCUAAGAGCAAGUCUUCAUGUAAAUGCUGGAAGGAUGAAAAUUCAUCAUUUUCAGAGUCCUGCUUAUGUUGCAGGACAAAUAAUUGGAUCAGUUGAGGGCUUCUAAAUUGUAAUUAAUCAAUAGAUUGGAACAGGCGUUAGAAAGAACAUAUCCAAGCAAAUACUAAAAAGUCCUCAUAUGUUAUUAUUGUGUCUUACAUUUUGAUGUAGUAUUUGUACCUCGAUUAUCAUUUCCCUUAAUUUUGUUAAAAUGACAGCUUGUAAUUCUUUCACCAUCAUAUAUUUGUUGCAGACUAACCUCUACACUGAAG